CUCGAUCAAGAAAUUCCAGCACCAACAGAAGGAAAAGAAGAGAGAAUAAUAGCAACAACAAUAGUGAAAGCAACAACUUGAGCAAUAACGUCGUCAGCAACUCCAUUUCAAUGUCCACAAACCUUCUCAUUUCUGAUCGGUACCUGAGUGAGAUACUUUCAGAGAAGCUAUCAACUCAGAGAGAUCGAAGGAGAGGUCGUGUUGGGGUGUGGAGACCACACUUAGAGAGCAUAUCUGAGACCCCAAAUGAUGCUUAAAGGAGGUUCUUGAUGAGUUUGUAAUGAGCCAUAUAUGAUUUUUCUUUUUCUUUGCGAUUCAUUCCUGCGGUUCUUAUCCAUUAGGGUUCAAGAACUCCAUCCCUAUUAUUCAUUUUCCUUUUCUUUUCCCUACCCUUCCC
rnacentral:misc_RNA from 1 species